UGCCAGCAGCCGCGGUAAUACGGAGGGUGCGAACGUUAAUCGGAAUUACUGGGCGUAAAGCGCGCGUAGGUGGUUUGAUAAGUGGGAUGUGAAAGCCCCGGGCUCAACCUGGGAACUGCAUUCCAAACUGUCAAGCUAGAGUAUGGUAGAGGGAGGUAGAAUUUCCUGUGUAGCGGUGAAAUGCGUAGAUAUAGGAAGGAAUACCGGUGGCGAAGGCGGCCUCCUGGACCGAUAUUGACACUGAGGUGCGAAAGCGUGGGGAGCAAACAGGAUUAGAUA
rnacentral:rRNA from 1 species